rnacentral:tRNA from 1 species
GCCUGGAUGGCUCAGUCGGCAGAGCGUCUGACAUCAGCUCAGGUCAUGAUCUCAUGGUUUAUGGGUUCGAGCCCCGCCUCAGGCC